rnacentral:rRNA from 1 species
AAUUUGAUCUUGGUUCAGAACGAACGCUGGCGGCAUGGAUUAGGCAUGCAAGUCGAACGAAGCAGCAAUGCUUAGUGGCGCAAGGGUGAGGAACACGUGAGUGACUUACCCGCAAGUUUGGAACAGCUCCUGGAAACGGGAAUUAAUACCGGAUGUGAUCAUAGGUCUGCAUGGAUUUAUGAUUAAAGCAGCAAUGCGCUUGCGGAUGGGCUCGCGUCCCAUUAGCCGGUUGGUGAGGUAACGGCCCACCAAGGCGAUGAUGGGUAGCUGGUCUGAGAGGACGACCAGCCACACUGGGACUGAGAACUGCCCAGACUCCUACGGGAGGCUGCAGUCGAGAAUUUUGGGCAAUGGACGAAAGUUCCUGACCCAGCAAUGCCGCGUGCGGGAUGAAGGUCUUCGGAUUGUAAACCGCUGUUUGGAGGGACGAAAUUUGACGGUACCUCCAGAGAAAGCCACGGCUAACUACGUGCCAGCCGCCGC